rnacentral:rRNA from 1 species
AUUGAACGCUGGCGGCAGGCCUAACACAUGCAAGUCGAACGGUAACAGGGAUCAGCUUGCUGAUUCGCUGACGAGUGGCGGACGGGUGAGUAAUGUCUGGGAAACUGCCUGAUGGAGGGGGAUAACUACUGGAAACGGUAGCUAAUACCGCAUAACGUCGCAAGACCAAAGAGGGGGACCUUCGGGCCUCUUGCCAUCCGAUGUGCCCAGAUGGGAUUAGCUAGUAGGUGGGGUAACGGCUCACCUAGGCGACGAUCCCUAGCUGGUCUGAGAGGAUGACCAGCCACACUGGAACUGAGAAACGGCCCAGACUCCUACGGGAGGCAGCAGUGGGGAAUAUGGCACAAUGGGCGCAAGCCUGAUGCAGCCAUGCCGCGUGUAUGAAGAAGGCCUUCGGGUGGUAAAGUACUUUCAGAGGGGAGGAAGGGAGUAAAGUUAAUACCUUUGCUCAUGGACGUUACCCGCAGAAGAAGCACCGGCUAACUCCGU